GGGCCGCUAGCUCAGUUGGUAGAGCAUCAGACUUUUAAUCUGAGGGCCCAGGGUUCGAUUCCCUGGCGGCUCA
rnacentral:tRNA from 1 species